GCCGUCGCGACGCGUGCGUGUUCUCUUUUGCCGGUUUCACAAAGCUCACGAGACUCGCGUGUCCCGCACAGCGUGACUAGUCUCGUCCGUGUUCGCCCACCUGUUCGCUCCAGCAAGUCGAUCGCGAGUAUCGUGACAACGAAUGGUUCGGUAUAAUAAUCGUUAAACGUUGCCUGGUGCACGUGCAUCGUCGUCGUAGCCCCCGUCGUUGUGGCUCCGUGCUCUACCAGGGAUACCUGCUAUUUCGAGGGGUUCUCGCGAGUGACCUGACAGCCCCGCGACUAGCAUUCCCUCGCGGCGCGUGUGUCCGUGCAACGAACACGAUAAUCUCGUGCCGCGUGUUUGGUAGCCUGGCUAAACUGGAGCAGUGUGCGAUUGGGACGUGUCAGUUGAAGAAGAGAGUCAAACGGUGUGAGGAAGAGUCUGUCCUCUGGUCUUAGUUGAGAACGUCAGUGAGGCCAGUCUCUCGGUGAUAAUCAGUGCGAAACAACCCUUGGAUUAUGACUGUCGGUAUUUUCGACGCUGCAUAAAACGAACAACGCGUCACACGCCCACGCAAAUCACACACAUCACACAUACGCUCGUGACGGUCACAACGAAACAAACCGCACUCGAUUCGGACGACCUCGAAAAUUUCCAAGUUUUAUCAGUGAAUCGCAGACAGCCCCCUUGCAUCAAUACCGACCCAAAAAAUCUCAGUAUUUUCGACGAUGUAAAAAACGAACAACGCGUCACACGCCCACGAAAAUCACUCACAUCACACAUACGCUCGUGGCGGUCACAACGAAACAAUCCGCACUCGAUUCGGACGAUCUCCAAAAUUUCCAAGUUUUAUCAGUGAAUCAAUCGCAGACAGCUCCUUUGCAUCAAUACCGACCCAAAAAGUCGCAGGUACCCGAAAGUUCACUUUUACCCUUAGAGUGCUGUGGACCCAUCUUUG